rnacentral:lncRNA from 1 species
UUGUCGUGGAUCUUUAAUGUCGCUUGUAUACGGAUUCUGAGCUUUCGCUUCUCUGUAUUUCCAUAAAAGAACAGCAUAUCUUUUGCGGAUUAAUCCGGCAUCAAGUCCAUCAUUUGGUACUUGUAAUCCAUCGCUCAAAUACUCGGUGUACGCAGUAAUAAAAAGAUCGUAAUUCCUGCGUUUAAAAAAAAUAAAUAAUCUAUAUCUUGCAUUUUAUGCAAGCGUUAUGAAAUUUGUGAAAUAAAACUAAACAUGACACUUAAACUUACAGGCUACCAAUGGUUUGUUGAGCAAUUCCUUCAACAUAUUGUACAUCAAAUGGAUUACCUAUUUUAUCUCGGUAUACUUCAAUUGUCGAUCAAUUAGUACGAACCUUUUGGUCCAAAAAGCCACUCAUAUCAAGGUAAGUAGGCAAUAUUUUGGCAAGCUUUUAUAUCUCAGAUGAUGGAUCAAAAUAUCUUCUUCACAAUAUCGAGUCAUAAACUCGAAUGUGUCUCUAUUUUAAAACGACGACAGCCAACACCCAAUGGAAUUCAUCAUCAUAAUUGAUUGGGAUGUACACUUUGUUGAGCAACUGCUAAGGUAAGCCAGCCGAAAUGCUAAAACCUUUAAUGAUGUUGAUUAAGCAUUCCUGAUUUCGGAAAACUUUUGGUUAUAGUUGACAGUAUCUAUCGUAGACAUUAUUGAUGUAAACUUUGUACAAAUAAUUGACUGUCAUGUAUCUGUAUUGUUCUUGUGUUUACAACUUGGCCUUCUAUCGGAGGUAGUUAAAAAUGACACUGAUGUGCUGCACAUAUUAUCAAACAUUUUGAAUUACGUGACGAAAAAAGUAAUAUGCAGAUGUAAUUAAAUAAAGUAUUAAUUAAUAGUAAUAUGUAUAGAAUUUAAACCUCAUCAUUCCUGCAAGUUUAGGGUUGUGACAUCAAAUAGAACCAGUUCUUCAUUUCGGGAUGUGUAAUAACAAAGUCGAAUAUAUCAAAACCAAGACUCAAUUCAUUCACUUUGUAGUCUUCGUCAUUUUGUUUUCUACAUGAUGAUUUAUAUGUGUUAAUGUCAUGUUCAUACAACAAGAAUUGAAUAAACCAAUAUCUUUAAAUAUUGAUUUAUGUACCUGUCGGCAUGAUGCUUUAACAGCCCAUCGCCAAUCCAUUCUGAAUAGUCAUUGAUCAACUGUGUUAGUUUUUUUGGAGCCUCGCUCGAGAUGUUAAACCCUUCAAAUGGGUAAUUAUUUCGUUCUUCCUAACUGACAGGCUCCACUUUUUCUUUUUCUUUGGAAGCAGUUGAUGGAUUAUCAAUUGUGAUAUUAUGCUCUUCAGCAGUAGCUUCUACGGUGACAUCAACCUGGAAAGCCAGAAAUUAUCAAUGCUAAUUACAGAUAUAUAAUAGAUUAUACAUCUGUUGCAACAUAUGAGUCUUAUGUUGCAACAGAUGGAUCAUCUGUUUGGACAAAUUCGAACAGGUAAAUUAGAGAAAUAUGAUAAUUUCAAAAAGAUGACCUAUCUAUUGCAAUAUAAGACUCAUCUAUUGCAACAGAUAAUGAAUCUAAUGCAACAGGUUAGACAACAGUUGCAACAGAUGUAUAUAUCUGUUUGAUAAUUUUUAACAGAUGUAUCAUAUAUUAAAAUAGAUAUAUGUUUGCUUGUUUAUUGGAACAGGUGAUGUAUAUUCACCUUCUUCAGCUCAUGCUACUCUCCUGUGGCUCUUGCACACUGAACAACAGUGCAAGACAAAGACAGAGGUAUUGUAAUUUUACUUUUUUUUAUGCUUGAUAAUGCCUUAGAAGUAACUUUCCUUCUCCUCUUAGCCACCUUGAUAUCUAGUGGAGUGUAUGGAUAUGAAAUCCUCUUUGAUGGAAUGACACCCCUCUUAGAUGUUAUUUUCUUUACAGAAGUAGUUAGUGCAUUAAUAGCAUUAAUCACUCCAUCAUGUUUUGCCUUGAAGUCUUGACAUUUACUUGCAAAAUAUUUGAUAGAUGUGGCAAAAUCUAGAGAAAAAUUUGUACAACUAGUAUGAUCAUAAUCAUAAUGGCUUUUUGUUUUAAAAACUGUAAGAGGAGCAUCAUUAACCCCAACAGAAGCACCACUACCGCUACCAUCAUCAACAGCAACAAGCCCACCCUCCAAAAUUAUUUUUCUUCUAAUGGUUGUUGCUCCAAACAAUUCUAUUUUUAUUCCAUCAAUGACCUUAGGGUCCGAUAAAAUUUGCACAGACCAUAAAGUAAGAAAAAAUGGCAUCUUUAACUCUUGGUUGGUUGAAACAAGCCACAGAUGGACAAUCUAAAAUAAAUCAGUACAUUUAUUAGAAUGGUGAUAAAAUUAUUUAAAAUAAUCAUUAAUUAUAAUAAAAACUUGAUUAGAAUUGGACUUAUUGCUUGCUUCAGAGGGUUGAAAAGAUCAAGAAAUUUUGCAUUUUAUCAGUUUUGGUCGACAACCAUCUCAGGAUUCUUUGACAGAAAACUUUUUCUUGGUAGUUCACUUAUUGUCUCAAAUAAGGAAUUGCUUCAAAUUCCCAAGCCUAUAACAUAACUCCAAUAAAUCAAAAGCAUUAUUAAAUUAAAAAAUAAUGAAUCAUAUCAUGAUAAAAGAAAUAUUUACCAUGAUGGCCCAUGGAAAGCCAUAUAAGUUGACUGUCUUUGGCAUUAAUAGAGUCAACAAAUAUUGGACAGUCAUUUUGUAGCUUUCAUAACCCCAAGAAUAGCUAUCAAAUGCCUCAAGAUCCUCGGAGGGAUUUAUUAAAUCGGGGCUUAUGUUGUUGUUAACGUCCCUCGCUCAAAGAAUAUUAUGUACAAACCAAACCAAGCACAAUGAUUGUUUGUUCUUCUUUGAGAGUCCUUUACAUUUCAACGCUUCUAUCACAUUUUUGUUUUUGAAGCUUAAACCAAUAAUGGACACCAGGUCCUUACGAUCACUCUACAUGUCUUUGCCUUUUUUGGAUGUACGGGAUGCUUUUUUUGGGUCAAAGUAGGUAUUACUUGAGAAGGAGAAGGAGGAUAACAUUUUAGUCUGGUAACUAUAGCAAACUUCUUUCAACCAAAACAAACAGGCAUGUCACAAUAAUUUAUCCGCACCUCAUCCAUCUUGCCUUUGUUUUCAUACAUAAACCUACGGUUAAGAAGAUCGUAUACCAUUUUCAUCUAAAAAUAAGCAUUGUUGUCCUCCGGCAAAUCAAGAUAUUGCCCAAAGUAUCUUUUCCUGAAAUAAGCAUCCAAUUUUUAUUCUUGAAGUAUUUGUCUGAAGGCGUCGAAAGAUUUUCCCAUGGCCGACUUAACCACAAAAUCACCCAUUAAAUCUGUGGCACUAUCGCACUGUAUUCUCACAGGAUAAUGAUCAAUGCUGAAGGUUUUGACCAACUCUUCGGUGGAAGGGCUAUUAGCAUUUGGAUCAUAACUUUUGAGAUAUUUCUUCUUCUUAUGUUGACUAUCUCUACUCCUGAUUGAGAUAAGGCUUGUAAAUCAACCUCAUAGAGUGGUGGAUGUAGUCGAGCUGCUGCACUUGUUCCUUCACUUGGACUUGAUUUGGUUUCUUUUAUUUUGGGUGCCACAUUAUCUUAAAUUAACAGGAACAUAAAAUAAAUUAUAAUUGAUUAAUGCAUCAUUAAAAAGGAUAAUAGUAAAUCUAACAUGCACAAUGGUAAAAUAACAGUUCCAACAUACUACACAUUUGUUGCACCAGGUAUGUUAUAUGUUGCAAUAUAUAACCCACCUGUUGCAACGAAUGAGUAAACCAUUAGAAAUAAUAAAAAUAGAUCACUAAUCUGUUGCACCAGGUUGUUUAUCUAUUGCAAUAUAUAACCAACCUUCUGCAAGGACGAGUAAUCCAUUGGAAACAGUAAAAAUAGAUCACUAAUCUGUUGCACCAGGUUGUUUAUCUAUUGCAAUAUAUAACCAACCUUCUGCAAGGACGAGUAAUCCAUUGGAAACAGUAAAAAUAGAUCACUAAUCUGUUGCACCAGGUUGUUUAUCUAUUGCAAUAUAUAACCAACCUUCUGCAAGGACGAGUAAUCCAUUGGAAACAGUAAAAAUAGAUCACUAAUCUGUUGCACCAGGUUGUUUAUCUAUUGCAAUAUAUAACCAACCUUCUGCAAGGACGAGUAAUCCAUUGGAAACAGUAAAAAUAGAUCACUAAUUUGUUCCACCAGGUAGUUUAUUUGUUGUAACAUAUAACCAAAUGGUUGCAAGGAUGAGUAAACUAUUGGAAAUCAUAAAAACAUGUUACUAAUCUGUUGCACCAGGUAGUUUAUCUGUUGCAACAUAUAACCGAUCUAUUGCAAAGGAUGGGUAAACCAUUGGAAAUAAUAAAAACAGAUCACUAAUCUAUUACACCUGAUAAUUUAUCUGUUGCAACAUAUAACCGACCUAUUGCAAUGGAUGAGUAAAUCAUUGGAAAUAAUAAAAAUAGAUCACUAAUCUAUUGCUUCAGGUAGUUUAUCUGUUGCAACAUAUAACCAACCUGUUGCAACGGAUGAGUAAUCCAUUGAAAAUCAUAAAAAUAGAUCACUAAUCUGUUACACUAGGUAUGUUAUCUGUUGCAACAUAUAAAUGACCUAUUGCAAUGGAUGAGUUUUCUGUUGGAUGAAUAUUGUUUAGAUUUCUUCCAAACAGAAGAGUCGUCUGUCGCAAUAGAUGAAUUAUCUGUUAGAUUGUUCAUCUGUUGCAUCACUUUUAAUAGUUGCAUUAGACUUUAAUCUAUUGCAUCUGAUGUUUCCAUUUGUUGCAUCAGAUGUCUUCAUCUGUCACAUCAGAUGUUUCAUCUGUUGCAAUACCAUUUUUACCAAGACAAACAACAAAUCAACCCAGCAACACCAACACAUCACACACACACACACACUAAGAACAUCAACUGUGAACAAAAAUCACCAAUAAAUUCGAAUCAAUAGUACGACAAUAAGAAAAAGAAAUGUCAGAAAUUAGGGUUUUUUUUAGUCCAUAUUUCUAUAAUAGAAGAGUAGUUGGCUCAAACUCCUUUAUUUCUUCAUAAUUUUUUUACCUGUGAAAAAGGAAACGGGACGACGAAGAACUCAAAGUUUUUAUCAUCAGAGAAGUCUUUACGUCGAUUGAUGGUUGAAAGUUGAAAGGGAACUCGCUCAAUUAUUUUUUGCUGGAGGUUAAAAUCAUUGGGGAUUGAAGGGAGAAUUUUCUAGAACUAUUGGUUGAAGAGAGUUGAGAGAAGCUUUUGAGAGAGAGAGAAGAGAGAGACUGGUUGAUUUGGAUUGAAGAAGGGUGUGGGUUGAUUUGUAUUUUUGAAAAGAUUAGAAAGUUUUUAAAAUAUUAAUCAGGUCCAUAAUUAACAUGAUCAAAUUUUCAAAUGAUGUUUGACCCUUUAAGUUGGUCAAUGUCACCAAUUCUCCAUUCAAAACUUAAAAGACACAUUUUCUUCAAUUUUAUCAUGUAUCUUCAUCUAGCAGUCUAGUGCCUCUUUCCUUCCUAAGAUUUUUUUUUAUUGUUGUGUGAUUAUACAUGUUAUCUCUUUAAAAAACUAUUGCACAUUUUCAUUUGAAAUUUAUGUUUGUUUGAAAUUCCUUUAAAUAAUUUUAACAAAUUUAUUUGUUCCCUUCUAGCCCCUAAUAUUUUAAGCUUAGCAUAAUCAUUAGGUUUCGGUAUUUAAUUUGUAUGGUUAAGGUUAAGUUUUGGUAUGUAAAAACAUGUCCCUUUAGAAUAAAUGGCCGAGUUUUUAGAGUCCUUUUGUGUUUCUUUCAUAUAAAAUAGUAGCCUAUCUUUAGAAUCAAAGUUAGUUUCUCACUAUUUAGUAAUAUUGAAAUAGAUAAGACUAUAGUUUUCACGGUAAGAGAAUUUAUCAUCGCUAAACUUGAAAAUUGGCUUUAACUAUUUUGGUUAUUGUAGAUCACUUUCAUUUUCAUUGAUUCUAAAUAAGAAAUAUUAUAACUUUGCUAAUUUGAUUCCGCAAGGCUUUUUUAAGAUUUCAAUUAACAAAAAAUUUACAUUUUUAAAACAUGAGCUUUUUAUGACACUUAGUAUAUACUAAUUUUCUAUUUUAUUUAUAUCUAUAUUAUAAAAAGUCAAACUUAUUUUUAACAAUGAAGAAAACAUAAUUUUCUUGAUAUAGCAUAAUUAAUCCCUCUUUCUUAGCCUAGAUUUUUAUUUACAUUAUUAAAUAGAAUCUUUGUAUAUCCUUUAUUAGAAAUGACUUGAAAUAAUUAUUUCUUGACAACAAUAAGGUUGCAUUAUUUUUUUAGCAUUAUCUUUGAUAAUUUCUGAAAAAGUGGGUAAAUCCUCAAUUUACAACGAAGGCAUUAUGAAGUUUUCUUAAUCCUUAUAAAUAUUUAGCAUGUUUUUAUUUUAAUAAGAUGUAUAUUUUUAAUACCUUAGUUUUCUUAACACAUCAUUUGAUUUCCUUAUCUAACCUAAGUUUGGUUGGUCAACCGUAGUUAGAGGAUCCUUUAGGGUGCCUAAUCCCUUCCCUUUAGGAUAAUUAGAAACCUUACGUAGAAUAGCUUAAGUUGAGUAGACCUUAAAUGAAGUCUUUACUUUCUUAUAAUCUCAUAGUUUAUAAUAGGUGUCCUAAUUCACCGUAGAAUUAAUUAGGUGGAAACUUCCUUAAUUUAAUUAAAAGGUUUUUAAUAUGUUGUACCUCGAUUUUGACCUGUAUUAAAAUGGGGUAUAACAACAAGGACUAUUAGCCAGAAAUUCCAUUUUUCAUGAUUGUAAAUAAGAAAAUCUUGUGCAAAGUAAAGGUCAUUUUAAACACAUGUAUUUCCAAUGAAAUGGAUGUUUCACAAAGUAGUCUCUCUCAAAAAUUCUUUACUUGCAAACAACCAGGACAUGAUAAGCACAAUUGUCCAUCAAGAGAGCAUAAUGCUAAUGCAUAUCGAGCAGAAAAUAUCUCUGAUAGUGCUAGUACUUCUAGGAGAUGAUAUUAAUUGUAUGUCUUAUUAUGAAUUGCUUUAUAUGUUAUUGUAUUACAUAUUUUCAUGUUAAUGAUUGGUGUAAGAGUUUUAUUGCAAGAUAAAGUUUUAAAUUUUUUAUAACACCAGAGUGCAACUGUAAUACCCCGAACUUUCUUUAAGUCAAAUCUAGUCUCUGAUAGUGCUAGUACUUCUAGGAGAUGAUAUUAAUUGUAUGUCUUAUUAUGAAUUGCUUUAUACAUUAUUGUAUUACUUAUUUUCAUGUUAAUGAUUGGUGUAAGUGUUUUAUUACAAGAUGAAGGUUUAAAUUUUUUAUAACACUAGAGUGCCACUGUAAUACCCUGAACUUUCUUUAAGUCAUAUCUAGUCUCCAGAAGAGUUAGUGAUGACUUCCUAAAUUAUUUAUGUUUAAAUAAGAUAGAAUUCCCCAAUUUUGAAUUUUUAUUAUGUGAAAAAUUAAAUUAGCUUCCCAACGAUACCAAUUUCGUCCAAAUCUGAUAUUGGAGUAAAAAUUAUAGACGUUUUACAGAGAACUGUAGGAACUGUCUAUAAGUGAUGGUCAGGCCGAUGGACUGUCGAGCUAGUGAUAGAGAAUUGCCUAAGCCAUCGUGCUAAGGCAGUGAACCCGUCUUUUGGCCAAGUGUAAUGGUCAGGACCGAUGGACCAUCGAUCUAACGAUGGACCGUCGACCAAACCAUCGCAAACGAGGCAGGAAGUUCAGGUUCUGGCCAAGUACGACGAGAUGGAUCGACAGACUGUCGAUCUAGUGAUGAACCAUUGCCACUUCUGAUCAGUGAUUUUAACCCAUUUUUAAAGGGUAUUUGGAUCUUUUUCCACCUUUCUAACCCCUAAUUAUACCAGACCAGAGCUCAUAACUUUAUUAUUCAUCCACAACACCAAAUUACAAUUUCUCUCAAAGAUCAAUCUCGAAGAACAAAAAACCCUAGAUGUUUAAUCCCAAGUCAAGAAUUCAAGUUUUCCUCCACCAACCUUCAAGAAAUUAUCCACCCAGGAAUGUAAAGUGUUGAUUCUUGGGUUUAUUUCACCCAUGAAGCUCAAGAAUCCCAUUUUAAAUACAUGAAUUACGAUUUCCAUGAGGUGAGUUGAUUUUAAUUAUGUUGAUAUGGUUGUAUGAAUCCCAAGUUGGAGUCUUUAUGUACUUUUCAUGAAAUUAUGCUAGUAUGUAGGUUGAAAACUUUUAAAUUGAGUUGAUUAAAGUAACCAUGAUGUAUGAACUAGUGUAUAUGCAUAAGCCUAAGGUUGUGCAUGCAAUGUGUUUGAUAAAAUGUCCAAGAGAAUAAGAAUCAUGCUUUAGGACUCAAUUAUGACCAAAUUGAUGAACCCAUUCCUUACCCUUAUGUUCAAAAUGACUUUCAUGUUAUUGUUAUGCAUUGAAAUUCUUUGAUGGAUUGUUCAUGAGAUUAGCCCUAUGAAAUUAUGACAUGUUUAUAUGCAUUCCUAUUCAUGUACCAAACCAUGAUAAUCAAGUGCCUCAUGAAAUUUCCCAAUGAUUGUAUUUUGAAUUAUUGAUUAUGGUCGUGAGUCCAGGAAGUGUCAUGUCUUAUCAGUUUUAUACUAUCGAGUCCUGCGGAUACUUGUACCCAACAAUGUAGUUGUGUGCCUAGAGCCAGUGUCAUUUUUCAAGAUACUCUCAGUCAAGCCAUGUUCAGUAGAAUUCUGUCAGUCUCAUGACUCAGGAAAACUCAGUAAUCUCAGUCAGUUAUCAGAUCUCAGUAAUAUUCCGUCAGUCAAUGGAACUUAGUGAACUUAGUCCAGUUAAUUCAGUAAAAAUUAAUUCAGUAUCUAAUCAGAUAGGAGUAUGAUUCAACACCGAGUGAGCCCAAGGAUGGGAACUCACCUAUGAGUAAAGGGUGUGAUUCUUAAAAGCAAUCCUUGUGCUCCAGAACUACAUAGCCAGCGUAGGUUGAGACAUCUAACCUGUUAGAUAAGGGUUGAUGAGGUGACAUAACCUGUUAGAUGAGGGCCCACCAUUCUUCUUAGAGUACCUGUUAGAUGAGAGAUUACUCAUAGUUUGUCCUUACUAGUGGCGCGGUAUUGACACCCUUCCAAUUGGGGUUAUAGAUUGGACCCCAACUCAAUUAUAUUAUCUCAUUUGGGGAAUUUUAGUUAGAUGACUACUUCCUACAGUUACAGUAUUAGUCUCAGUCUCAGUAAUAGAAAUCUGAUAGUUCUACAGAAUUUAGGACUAUCGGAUACAGUCACCCAGUUCAGUACAAAACUCAUCUAGUUCCAUCAGAAAUAGGACUAUCAGACACAGUCAUUCAAAUAAUAGUUUAUCAGUUAUACAAAACUUAUGUUAUUAGUAUUUAGAUUCAGUAAUGUCAUGAUCUCGGUAACAGUUGACAUAUUCAUGCAUGUAUUCUCGCAUUCAUGUUAUUAAGUCAGUUAGUAUCGUUCAUGCAUAUAAACCCUUUACAUUUAGCCUACCUUACUUGCAUACCAGUAUAUUUAAUCGUACUGAUGCAUUUGCACUAUGGUGUUUCUAUACCAUAGGUUCAGAAGUACGAGCUCCAGAGCAUCCUUAGUAGAUCAGACGUUCAGAAGCCAGACUAUCAGUGAGUCCUCAUCAUUCGAGAAUAGCAUGAUUAUUUUAUUACUUUAUUAUUUUAGUAGUCCAGAGUUAGUUGGGGAUAUCCCAUCAACUCUACAAUUUUUAGACAGUUUAGAGGAUUUCAAACUAUAGCAUGUUUAGACAGUUAGUUUAUUUUUAUUUUGGUAUUGAUAUACCAUAUUUCCAGAUAUUAUGUUUUAUCAGAUAUUUAAACCUUAUGGCCUUUCAUCCCUUUUUCCAUUUAUAUAGUAUAUUAUGUAGUGCCCAGUUAUAGAUAUCAGUCAUGGGUUAGCUUGUGGUCCUUCUGGGUCAUGAGCACCAUGUAGCAUUCCAGGUACUAGAUUCGAGGCGUUGCAAACUUGGUAUCAAAGCCUAAGGUUCAAUAGUGUCCUAGGAAGUCUGAAAGCUAGAUCUAGUAAAGUUUUAUGCAUAGGUGUGUUGCGAGCCACAUUUAUGUACAGAAGGCUAUAAGAUAUUUUAGGAACAGUUUCCAUUCUUUAAGUAUUCAUGUCAUGCCAGUGAGCAUGAGCUCAAGUUUAAAUCUUAGUCUAAUUUGUUUCUCCUUUUCUUCUACAGAACAUGCCUUCUAAGAGAAGAAAUAAAAAUCAGUCAGCUCCUUAGCCCGUCCAAGAAGAUCCCUUAGACAAACAUGUCUCUCAUGCAGAGUUUAGAGUUACAUUCCUUACUCUUGCUAACUCAGUUGCUGCUCAAAAUGAAUGACCAGCUACUAUUUCGGCCAUCCCAGUGGCCAAUACUGCUACAGCCAUUAUUCGAGACUUCACUCGAAUGAAUUCUCUAUCCUUUUUUAGGUCAAAAUUAGACGAGGACCCUCAGGAAUUCCUUGAUCAGGUUUAAAAUAUUAUGACUAUCAUGGGAGUUACUGCUAGUGAGAGUACUAAGCUAGCUGCAUAUCAGUUGCAGGAUGUGGGUCACAUAUGAUUCAAGCAAUGAAAGGCAGAGAGGGCCAAAGAUGCAGGGCUUAUUGAGUGGGAGGAGUUUUCCAUUACAUUUCUAAAUAGGUUCUUUCCCCUAGAGAUAAGAGAAGCUAAGGUUUUAGAGUUUAUCAACCUCAGUCAGGGCAACAUGAUAGUGAAAGAGUAUUCUCUUGAGUUUACUCAAUUAGUUGGAUAUGUUCCUCAUAUAGUGGCAGACAGCAAGGCUAAAAUGAGUAAGUUUAUUUUCGGGGUGAAUGAUAGUGUGGUCAAUGAGUGCAAAUCUACAAUAUUAAUUAGUGAGAUAGACAUAGCCAGGCUUAUGAUCCAUGCUCAACAGAUAGAAGAGUGAAAGAUUAAGAUGAUAGAGAAGCAAAAUAAGAGAGUAAGGACAGGUAGUUUCAACUUUACUCAGCCUAAGUUAGAGGGUGGUAGUCGUUCUGAGUUUUGCCCAAAGUCAUCUGUUCCAGCUCUUUCCUCAGCCAGUGCUCCAUUGCUAAAAUUCAAAGACAGCAACAGACAUAGGGUGCCAGGAUCUAAGUCUCAGGGUAGUGUUAGUCGUGCCCGAACCUAUCCUCUUUGUCAAAUAUGUGGCAAGCACCAUCAAGGUACUUGUAGAGUUGGCAGUGAUGUUUUCAUUGGAUGUCCAUAGAGCCAUAGAUUAUCCCAAGGCAGGUCCUCAGGGUCAAUGUAAUCGCCCUCCAGCUCAGUCUGAUCGCCUGAAUCAGCAGGGUGCCUCUUCCAGUGCUACCAGUGGGCAACGCCCAAAAAGACUAUGUUUUUCAGUCCCGACAGGAUCAGGAAAAUUCUCCUGAUGUGGUAACUGGUAUGUUACAGAUCUUUAAUGUGCAUAUUUAUGCUUUGCUAGAUCCAGGAGCUUCUUUGUCUUUUGUUACUUCCUAUAUAGCAGUUGAUUUCAGAGUCAGUCUAAAAUUCUAGCAGAGCCCUUCUCAGUCUCUAUCCCAGUGGGUAAAACUAACAUAGCUCGAUGGGUAUACAAAAACUAUUUGGUUAUGGUAUCUUAGAAAGUUACUUUAGCAGACUUAGUCGAAUUAGAAAUGACUGAUUUUGAUGUCAUUCUCGGCAUGGAUUGGAUUUAUUCCUGCUAUGCCAUAUUCGACUGCAGAAAUAGAGUUGUCCAGUUUUGGUUCCUGAAUGAACCCAUCCUAGAGUGGAAGGGUAGUACUUCAGUUUUCAAAGGUCAGAUUAUUUCCUACCUUCGGGCAUAGAAGAUGAUAUCUAAGGGAUAUGUCUAUCAUCUUGUUCGAUUUAAGGACUCUAGUUUUGAAACUCCCAAUCUCAGAUCAGUCCUAGUAGUGAAUGAAUAUUCUGAUAUCUUUCUCAAAGAUCUUCCUAGAAUUCCUCCAAAAAGGGAAAUAGACUUUGGCAUAGACCUUCUUCCAGAUACUUAGCCCAUAUUUAUUCCGCCAUAUAGAAUGGCACCUGUAGAAAUCAAGGAAUUGAAACAUCAGUUGAAGGAUCUCCUAGAUAAGGGUUUCAUUAGACCCAGUGUAUCCUCAUAGGUGGACUAGUCCUAUUCAUGUGCAAGAAAGACGGUUCUAUCAGAAUAUGUAUAGACUACCAUCAGCUCAAUAAAGCCACAAUCAAGAACAAGUAUCCACUUCCCAGAAUCGAUGAAUUGUUCGAUCAACUUUAGGGUGCCAGUUAUUUUUCUAAGAUAGACCUCAUAUCAGGCUAUCUUCAGCUCAGGGUCAGAGAAUGUGAUCUUUUGAAAAUAUCUUUCCAUACUCGGUAUGGUCACUUCGAAUUCUUAGUUAUGUACUUUGGUCUUACCAAUACCCCAGCAGCCUUCAUGGACUUGAUGAACCGUGUUUUCAAGUAGUAGUUGGACAUAUUAUCAUAGUUUUCAUAGAUGACAUUCUUGUUUAUUCCCACAGUAAGCAUGAUCAUGUAGACCAUCUCAGAAUAGUAUUAUAAAUUCUCAGAAAUCAUCAGUUGUUUCCCAAAUUCAGUAAGUACAAAUUUUGGCUAAGGUUGUAGCAUUCCUUGGUCAUAUCGUCUCCGAUGAUGGCAUUAGAUUUGAUCCUCAAAAGACCAAAGUAGUGAGAAACUAACCUAGACCCAUGUCUCCAUUAGAUAUUAGGAGUUUCUUAGAUUUGACUGGCUAUUACCAUCGGUUUGUUGAAGUAUUUUCAUCUAUUGCAUCCCCUAUGUCCAAAUUGACUCAGAAGAAAGUUCAGUUUUAGUGGUCAGAUUCAUAUGAAAAGAGUUUUUAGAAGUUGAAGACUCGACUCACCUCAGCUCUACUUUUGACUCUUCCAGACAGUUCAGAUGGAUUCAUAGUGUACUGUGAUGCAUCCAAAGUAGGUUUGGAUUGUGUCCUCAUGUAGCAUGGUAAGGUUAUAUCCUACUCCAGAAAACCUAAGCCCCAUAAGAAGAUUAUUCGACUCAUGAUCUUGAGUUAACAGCCGUAGUUUUUGCCUUAAAGAUUUAGAGGCAUUACUUGUACGGCAUUCAUGGAGAUGUAUUCAUAGAUCACAAGAGCCUUCAGUAUGUAUUCUCUGAGAAAGGUCUUAACCUCCAUCAGAGAAGGUUGGUAGAGCUCUUGAAAGAUUACGACAUGAGUGUUCUUUAUCAUCUGGGCAAGGCUAAUGUAGUGGAUGACGCUCUCAGUAGACUGUCUAUGGGUAGUGUUGCUCAUGUUGAGGACAGUAAGAAGAAGUUAGAUCAGGAAGUCCAUCAUCUUGCCCAACUAGAUGUCCGCUUAGUCGACUCAGCAGAAGAAAGUAUAUGGGUUCAGAGUAGUUCUGAAUCAUCUCUAGUUUUUGAGGUAAAAGAAAAGCAUGAUAGAGAUCCCAGUCUUGUUAAGUUGAAAGAGUCGAUUAGAGAUCAGAAGGUAGAGGUUUUCUCCCAAGGGGAAGAUGGUGUUCUCCGUUGUCAGGAUCGUCUGUGUAUUCCAAGUGUAGAUGACUUGAGGUAACUAAUUCUUACAGGAGUGCAUGGUGCACGCUACUCUAUUCAUCCAGGGGCCACUAAGAUGUACUGUGACUUAUGGGAGAUCUAUUAGUUGAGUGGGAUGAAGAGAGAUAUUGCAAAGUUUGUGGCUAAGUGCUCUACAUAUCAGCAGGUUAAGAUAGAGCAUUAGAAGCCUAGUGGGUUCAUUCAGGAAUUCAGUAUUCCUACUUGGAAAAUGGAAAGAAGUGAACAUGGAAUUUGUGAUGGGUUUGCCUCGUACUUAUUGUCAGCAUGAUUUAGUUUGGGUCAUUAUGGAUAGGAUGACCAAAUUAGCUCAUUUUCUUUCAAUCCAUACCUCUUAUUCAGCCGAGGAUUACGCCAGACUCUAUAUUAGGGAGUUGGUUAGAUUGCACGGUGUUCCGUUGUUUAUUAUUUUAGAUAGAGGUACCCAGUUCACCUCUUAUUUUUGGAAAGUGUUCCAAAAGGGCCUUGGUACCCAAGUUCACCUCAGUACAGCCUUUCAUUCUCAGAUAGAUAUUCAAGCAGAAAGGACCAUUCAAACCUUGGAAGAUAUGCUAAGGGUGUCUGCAAUUGAUUUCAAGGGGAUUGGGAUGACCACUUGCCGUUGAUUGAGUUUCCAUACAACAACAGCUAUCAUUCCAGUAUUCAGAUGGAUCCCUUUAAAGCUCUCUAUAGUAGGAAGUGCAGAUCUCUAAUCGGUUGGUUCGAAGUGGGUGAGGUCACAAUAGUAGGGCCUGACUUGGUAUUCAACACCUUAGAGAAAGUUUGGUUGAUCAGAGAACGAGUCAAGAUAGCUUAGAGCUGACAGAAAUCAUACGUAGAUGUGCACAGAAAGGAUAUCGAGUUCGAGAUUGGUGAUUAUGUGUACUUGAAAAUCUCUCCCAUGAAGGAAGUGAAAUGGUUUGGCAAGAAGGGAAAGCUCAGGCCCCAAUAUGUUGGUCCCUUCAAAAUUCUCAGUCAUUUCGGCAAGGUAGCUUAUGAGCUUGAAUUUCCUUAAGAUCUAGCCUUAGUUCAUCUAGUGUUCCAUGUCUCCUUUCUAAAGAAGUGCAUAGGUGACCCAGUAGUUGUAGUCCCGGUAGAGGGCUUAGACAUUCAGAACAACCUUUCUUUCGAAGAGAUCCCAGUUGAAGUUCUUGACUACCAGACUCAUAGACUGAGAAACAAAGAAGUCCUUCUAGUCAAAAUUCUUUGGAAAAAUCAGUCCAUUGAGAGAGAUACUUAGGAAGAAGAAGCAGAGAUGUGGACCAAGUAUCCUCACCUCUUCUCCGCAAACUCAUACUCAGCCCAAGGUAAUAGCUUUCCUUAAACUUAUUCAGUUUCAUGUUUAGAUUUCAGUUAUAAACUUGGUAUCAAAUAUCCUUGCAUAUCUAGCCAUAUUUUCAUAUAUCAUGUCAGUCACGUAUUCAUGCAUCAGAUAUGCAUUCUCAUCAGGAGAAACUCAUCUUCUCAGUAAUUUCAAUCAUGCAUUCAUGAAGACUAUCCAUCACAUAUCCAUACAUCAUACAUGGAAAUUCAGUAUGAAAUUUUAGUAUAUCAGAAGUUCCAGUCAUAUAGACAUGUUCAAAUAUUCACGUCCCUUAAGUAAGAUAAGUCUAUCAGCUUUCCUAGUCUAAUCAGUCCCAUUCGAGGAUGAAUGUUCCCACGGGGGAGACAUUGUAAUACCCCAAACUUUCUUUAAAUCAAAUCUAGUCUCCAAAAGAGUUAGUGAUGACUUCCUAAAUGAUUUAUUUUUAAAUCAGGUAGAAUUCCUUAAUUUUGACUUUUUAUCAUGUGGGAAAUUGAAUUAUCUUUCUAAAAAUAUGAAUUUCAUCCAAAUCCGGUAUCAGAGUAAAAAGUUAUGGACAUUUUACAGAGAACUAUCGAAAUUACCCAGAAAAGAUAGUCAAGCCGAUGGACCGUUGAGCUAGCGAUGGACCAUCGCCCAAGGCAUCGUGACUAAGGCAGUGAACUUGUAUUCUGGCCAAGUGCGAUGGUCAGUACCAAUGGACCAUCGACCAAACCAUCACAGACAAGGCAAAAAUUUUAGGUUCUGGCCAAGUACGACGGGAUGGACCGAUGGACCGUCGAGCCAGCGAUAAACGGUUGCCCAAAUCAUUGCCAAUUCUGAUCAGCGAUUUUAAGCCAUUUUUAAAAGUUUAUUUGGGUCUUUUUCCACCUGUUUUAACCCCUAAUUAUACCAGACCAGAGCUCAUAACUUCAUUAUUCAUCCACAACACCAAAUAAGGGUUUCUCUCAAAGAGCAAUCCCCAAGAAUAAGAAAUCUGAGGUGUUUAAUCCCAAGUCAAGAAUUCAAGAUUUCCUCCACCAACCUUUAAGAACUUAUCCACCUAGGUAUGCAAUGUAUUGAUUCAUGGGUUUCUUUCACCCAUGAAGCUCAAGAAUCCCAUUUUAAACUCAUGAAUUGUGAUUUCCUUGUGGUGAGUUGAUUUUAAUUAUGUUUAUGUGGUUGUAUGAAUCCUAAGUUAGAGUCUUUAUGUACUUUUCAUGAAAUUAUGCUAGUAUGUGGGUUAGAAACUUUUAAAUUGAGUUGAUUAAAUUAACCAUGAUGCAUGAACUAGUGUAUAUACCUAAGCCUAAGGUUGUGCAUGCAAUGUGUUUGAUAAAAUGGCCAAGAGAAUGAGAAUCAUGCUUUAGUACUCAAUUAUGACCAAAUUGAUGAACCCAUGCUUUACCCUUAUGUUCAAAAUGAUUUCCAUGUUAUUGUUAUGCAUUGAAAUUGUUUGAUGGAUUGUUCAUGAGAUUAGCCCUAUGAAAUUAUGACAUGUUUAUAUGCAUUCCUAUUCAUGUACCAAACCAUGAUAAUCAAGUGCCUCAUGAAAUUCCCUAAUGAUUGUAUUUUGGAUUGUUGAUUAUGGUCGUGAGUCCAGGAAGUUUCGUGUCUUGUCAGUUUUAUGCUAUCGAUUCCUAAGGGUACUUGUACCCGAUAAUUUAGCUGUGUGCCUAGAGUCAAUGUCAGUUUUUAAGAUACUCUCAGUCAUGCCAUGUUCAGUAGAAUUCAGUCAGUCUCAUGACUCAAGAAAACUCAGUAAUCUCAGUCAGUUAUCAAAUCUCAGUAAUAUUCCGUCAGUCAAUGGAACUCAGUGAACUCAGUCCAGUUAGUUCAGUAAAAAUUAAUUCAGUGUCUAAUCAGAUGGGAGUAGGAUUCAGCACCGAGUGAGCCCAAGGGUAGGAACUCACCUGUGAGUAGAGGGUGUGAUUCUUAGAAGCAAUCCUUGUACUCCAGAACUAUGUAGCUAGCGUACGUUGAGACAUCUAACCUGUUAGAUAAGGGUUGAUAAGGUUACUUAACCUGUUAGAUGAGGGUCCCACCGUUCUCCUUAGAGUACCUGUUAGAUGAGGGAUUACUCAUAGCUUGUCCUUACUAGUGGCGCGGUAUUGACAUCCUUCCAAUUGGGGUUACAAAUUGGACUCCAACUCAAUUAUAUUAUCUUAUUUAGGGUAUGUCGGUUAGAUAACUAUUUCCCACAGUUACAGUCUCAGUCCCAGUCUCUGAAAUAGAACUCAGAUAGUUCUACAAAAUUCAGGACUGUCAGAUACAGUCACCCAGUUUAGUAUGGAACUCAUCUAGUUCCAUCAGAAACAGGACUGUCAGACACAGUCAUUCAGAUAAUAGUAUAUCAGUUAUAUGAAACUUAUGUUAUAAGUAUUUAGAUUCAGUGAUGCCAUGAUCUCAAUUACAGUUCACAUAUUCAUCCAUGUAUUUUCACGUUCAUGCUAUUCAGUCAGUUAGUAUCGUUCAUGCAUAUAAACCCUUUACUUCAGCCUACCUCACUUGCAUACCAGUACAUUCAACCGUACUGAUGCAUUUGCACUAUGGUGUUUCUAUGCCAUAGGUUCAGAAGCAUGAGCUCCAAAGCAUCCUUAGUAGAUCAGAUGUUCAGCAUCCAGACUAGCAGUGAGUCCUCAUCAUUCGAGGAUAGCAUGAUUAUUUUAUUACUUUAUUAUUUCAGUAGUCUAGAGUUAGUUGGGGACAAGUCCCAUCAGCUCCAUAGUUUUUAGACAAUUUAGAAGCUUCAAGACUAUAGCAUGUUUAGAUAGUUAUUUUAGUCUUAUUUUGGUAUUGAUAUACCGUAUUUCCAGAUAUUAUAUUUUAUCAGAUAUUUGAACCUUAUGGCCUUUCAACCUUUUUCCACAUUUAUACAGUAUAUUAUGUAGUGCCCAGUUACAGAUAUCAGUUAUGGGUUAGUUUGUGGUCCUUUGGGGUCUUGAACAACGUGUAGCAUUCCAGGUACCAGAUUUAGGGCGUUACAGCAACUGAUGCAAUCGAUCGGGGACCUUUUUGUAAUGGACGUUCCAAGUCCAACCGGGACCGGGGACCACCCCUGUUACCCAACCCAACAUCCAGCCGCCUGCCUUGAGUUGGCUUAAUUUUAAGCAUGUAGCAAGGUAGUACAACAACUCACAUAAAGACUCUGGGAUAAGAUCACAACCAUAACCAAUCCAAUCGAGUCCAACCAUAACAUACCAAUAAUUCAACCAUACCAAACCAUACCAAAACAAGGGCCAUAAACCAGGCCAUAACCAAAGAUAUUCCAAAACAUAAUAUAAUUAAUCCUGAAAUGAAAUAUAAUAGAACAUUGAGAAAUUAUGUCCAAUGGUGUCAGCCUUCCAGCUUAUUCCAAUGCCAAGGCUAACAUCAAUACCAAUCCCGCCCAUUCCAACCCAAUCAAAAGAGUAAUAAAAUUUAGUUGGGACAUGCCCCCAAUCAUAGCCAAAACCAAGAUCCAAAAUAAAAUCAAAGUAGCUAGAAAUAUUCAUAACAUGAAAUAGAGCCUUUCGAAAGGAUGGAAGCUCACUACUUCAGUCUAAAUAUUAUCCCUGAGUCAAUCACUAUAUAAGAGGAGUGGAAUGAUCGAUUCCUGCAUAUCAUGGGUAUACAGUCGCCAAUAGACUGGUUAGCGGGUGAACGCUAGCAUGAUCUCAGGAUAACGAUAAAAUAAUGUCAUUUAUAAAACCAAGUAAAACCAUCCAUAUGCACACAAUUAUACAUAUAUAUAUAUAUAUAUAUAUAUAACCAUAUUGGGAAAGGGGACCAGGUUUAGCAUGUCUUUAAAACCUUUACCUGGAUUAUGUAGCUUUGCCGUCCUAAACCACCCACGAGCGAUAUGGGUUUAGCUUCCCUUGCUAAAAGGGCCCUAGUACGAGUAGUCACACGACCAGGAAAGAAAACCUGGGAUAACUAGUUCAUCCCCAAAAUAUAAUGUUACAUCAUACACACGGUCACCAAUACCAACCUCAUAUUGGAAAAUAUGAGUGUUCAGUUUUGGUCCCCCCGGUACCUCCUCCUUGCAUGGGUUUACUACACAUCCCUCCAUUAUUGCUCAAUUAAAAUCAAUUUUCAAAUAACCAAUUAUUAACCAAGGCCAUUAUUAUUGGUAUCAUCAUACCAAUCCUUACUUACAAGUAUUAUCCAUAGCCAACCAUGCAUAGAAUUAAAGGAAAUUUUAAGUGCCCUUUUAUUUACCAUAUUAAACCACUUGGGGGAUUCCAUGUGUCCCACAAGCAUAACCAUUAGCCAUUUACCAUUCCAAGCCAUUUAAACUAUGCAUAAUUUCUUUACCAACUUUUGAAAGAAGCAAGAGUUCCAUUAAAAGUAGUCAAUGAAGUGAACUUAUCUUUAUAAGCAUUUUAUCAAACACAUUGGGGGCAUAAUAUGACCAGAACUAAUUUCAAUUACCAUUAAAUCAUUACCAUGCAAUCCAAUUAUUCAAAACCACCAUUAAUGCACAUAAAAAAUAAAUUAAACCAUGGAAAACCAUAAUCAACCAUUUAAUAUCAAAACCCUUAAUUCAUAUUUGAAAACCAAAAUCAUAUAAUCAAUGAAGUCAUGAAAACAUUCAUAAAAAUCAUGAUUCUAGUUAUAAUUAACAAUGAAGGAAGAGAACAUGCCUUAAACCAAUAUGAUGAUGUUAAGAAAUCACCAAGACAAGCUCUAAAUUGAUUGAAACCCUAGCUUUCCUUGCCCAAAAACUUUUGAGAGAAUUAUAGAGUGUUUAGAAGAGUUUCUAAGUGUUAAUGAAUGGAAUAAUAGGGUAAAUAACCUUCCAAGUAGGUUAAAAGUCACGGUAACUUAUUAGGAUAAGUGGAUAAAUAUCCAGAAUACCCCCACUUAAGUUGAACAAAAUCCAGUCAUAAUGAUACGACUGACCCUCAUGAGUUGUACCCUUCUAAUACGAGUGGUACCCUCCACUCGUAUCCUAGCCUCAACCUUUGGAUCAAACACUAUCCAACAUAUGACUUAUCCAACCAAGUCGUAUCCAAAGCAUACGAUCUAUACCAUUCCUUCAUAUUAUUGGCAGAUUUAAACUCGAGAUAGAUUUAGACACUAUCCAUCAUACGAGUUUUGGGUACGACUCAUACCCUAGCUUACGGAUCACGGUGAGCCACUCAUACUCAGAUCAAACCUAAGUAACCAAGUAUAAGAUUAAGUUAAGAAGCCAAAUAAUCUGUAAUCACUAAUACGACUCGUACCCUAAGCCGUAUCUAUUCCAGUAACCAAAAUCCAUCCUAUUUACCGACACUGGUUAGCAUACGACUGGACCAUACCAUUUGUACCCUAACAUACAGCUCAUACCCUCGAGUUGUAUUGGGUCCAGAGAUCAGAAUUCUAGAAAAUUUUCUAAGGUUCAGAAACCAGGAUGUUUCAGCAACAUAACAUACAAUAUAUGAAAUUGAGAUAAUACCCAAUUACCUCUCUGAACUAUACCCCAAAAGGUUAUAACCACCUCAACUUAAAGGGGGUUAUAUUACCCUUCCCCCCUCCGAACUAAUGAAAAGUGUAUUUUUGAUACCCUCAGUGCCUACGUGGUGCCUACGUAGCAUAUAAAUGGCACAACACACUAAAGUGUCCACGUAGGCACACGUGUGUGCCAUGUAGGCACCACAUAGGCACUAAGGGUGUCAAAAUUACACUUUUAAUUAGUUCAGGGGGGUAAUAGGACUCCCUUUAAGUUAAGUUGUGUCAUAGCCUUUUUGGGUAUAUUUCAGAAGGGUAAUUAGGUAUUUUCUCUAAAAAAAAAAAUUACAUACCUUCUUCAUCAGUUUUAGGGACUACAUCAACUUUUUCUUUGUCACUAUGAUCUAAACACCAAUUUGAACUAGUUUAUUAUGUUAGCUAAGAUAAACUCAGUUGAUAUAUACAAUAAUAUGACCCUUCAAAAUCUAAUGUUUGGAUAAUUUUUUUUUGGAAGGCUUAUACAUUCGUUAAUAAUUGGAUAUAUCGGAUAGAUAGAAUCUCGAUAUAGUCUCUGGUCUUCAAGUAAUUUUCAGUGCUACUCUUCAUCUGCUCCUGGAUAGAUAAGAUCAUCUAAUGUCUGAAAAUUUCUAAUGUUUUUUUUUAUUUGUAAUAUUUCCUUAUUCAAGUGCUCGAUAACUUGUGCUUCAUCUCUGAACUUACAUAUCUUAAAUGUCUCAGACAAUGCCUAUGGAACAAUCAAACCAUGCCAUCGACAUAACUCCUCGUAAUCACACCAUUUAGAAUAUAGUUGAGUUCACUGAAGUGUUUCUCUCCAAAUAGUAAAAUCUUCAACUUUAAAGUAGUAUAUUUCUCUGAAAAUGAUGUGUCCACCAAUUUUUACAUCAUGAUAAAUAGAAACAGAUUUAUUUUCUAAUGGGCGAAUACGACCAUACCAUUUUUUUCCUGAGAAAUCAGUUAACAAUCAAAUACUUUUGUAAGGUUCUUUGAAAUUCCCUCAAUUUUUAUUUUUCUUUUAUCUAACCAACUUUUUAUUGGAGCUUUGCAUAAUAUAUUGUAAGAUGUAAUGUUUUUCCUUAUAUUUGUAAUGUGUUAUUUAUAACACAAAAAAACAAAGGUAUGAAGUUCACACAAAUUACGCUAAUAAAGUUUUGUGGUCAAUCAAAGACGCCAGUCAGUCAAAAGAGGAUUCCAAGGUAGAAAGUGCAUAUGUUAUGUGCAUUGUAGCUUGUAGGUUGUAGAAAGUGUUAUAUAAAGUUUUGUUAUCAAUCAAAGAUGUCAGUCAGUAAAAAAAAGAGUCUAUAGUAGAAAGAGCAUAUAUUAUGUGCUCUAUGUAGCUUGUAGGUUGCCGAAAUUGCGCUAAUAAAAUUAUGUUGUCAAUCAAAAAUGGCAGCCAGUCAAAAUAGGAGUCCACAGGAGAAAGCGCAUAGAUUAUCUACAUUAUGUAGCAGGUUGUAGAUUGUGUCAUAUAAAGUUGUGUUGUCAAUCAAAGAUGUCAGUCAAAAGAGGAGUCCACAGUAGAAAGAACAUAUAUUAUGUGCACUAUGCAGCUUAUAGGUUGUUGAAAUUAUGCUUGUAAAAUUGUGUUGUCAAUCGAAGACGUCAGUCGGUCAAAAGAGGAGUUCACAAUAGGAAGUGCAUAUAUUAUGUGCACUAUGUAGCUUAUAGGUUGCAGAAUGUUUCAUAUAAUAUUGUGUUGUCAAUCAUAGACAUUAGUCAGUCAAAAGAAGAGUCCACGAUAAAAACCGCAUAUAUUAUGUGCGAUAUGUAGCUUAUAGGUUGCAGAAAUUGCGCUAAUAAAAUUGUAUUGUCAAUCGAAGACGUCAGUAGGUCAAACCUUCAUUUUCUCUUCUGAUUUCUCAAUGAGUAUUUCCCCAAUAUAUGAUUAUCUAGAGUUGGACAUAAGCUUUUUGCCUUUCCACAUUGGUUGUUUAUUUAAGUAUACUUGCUAUACUUAAGGUAGUAACAUGAUAUACUAAAUAAUGUAAAUAAUUAUAUUUACAAAUAUUAUUAAACUAAGUGUAAGUUGUUUUAUCCCUUUUAAAUUUUAUAUUCAUAAUGUUUAAGGGCAUAGUAAUUCUUUUCGUCUUAGCUAACGUCACUUCCCAAUUCCAUUAUAUUUAUUGUUGUCAUAUUGUUGAUUAGUUCGCAUCUUGAUUUCCCAAGAUUUCAUACUAUUAUUCAGACUCCAUAGCAGUUUAUGUGUGGUUAAUUAGAGAAUAUUUGCAUGCUCUUAAUUUGCUUUUCUUCUUCUAUGGUUUUUUCUCCAUAGUACAUGCUUCAAUAUGCGCCGUGUUUAAUAGAAAAAUAAAAGGUGGAUCAAAAGUAAAUAUUCUGAACCACCUUUUAUAUAUAAUCCGCACCACUUAUUGAGAAAAAAACACCUUUAAUUUGGAGAUUCUAAUUCUUGAUAGAACCAGCAACUUUUGGAUGAUUGGUCCUGCCGUUUAUAAUUAAGGUGUAUUUGAGUAAUUACGUAUAGUUUAAAUUCAUAUUCAAUAUUGAUAAAUGUGUAUUUAGUUUUGUAGCAUAAAGUAAAUAUAUAUAUAUAUAUAUAUAUAUAGUGUAAAUGUAUAUAUUCUUUAUAUAUAUAUAUAUAUAUGUAUAACUUCAUUAUUAUUAUUGGCAGGCUCCGCUUGAUGAAUAACAUAGUAUAUAUUUGUGCAAUGACUGUUAUACUAUAAGGCUAUAACCUAUAUAGCCCUCAAAGCAGACUGUAGUAUGGUUUAAUGCAGGCAAAAUGCUCUUCUAGACCCUUGUACUAGAUCGGUUUUGUAUGUUGGACACUUCUACUUACAUGUUUGUCAUCUGGACCCCGGAACCCACUAAAAAUUAUAUUUCAAACCCUUUGACCAUUAACUUUGCCUAUGUGGCAUUAAAAUGCUGACUAGGACAAGGAGAGUGAUUACACUCGCCUAGGGUGCGAGUGGGGGAGCCCCUCCCUACCCUCACAGUCCCGUCCAGCACCCCCAUUCUCUCAAACCCCAGCCUUCUCCCCGCUCCCCCACUCCCCAUCAUUUCCCCAGCCCUCUCUCCCCUUUCCCAUCCCCCAGCCCCACCAGUUCUAUUACUCAAAAAAUGAGUAUCAUUUCAGCCCAGAAUGAGGCCAACAGAAGAGAGAAAAAAAUAGGGUUUUCAUGGAGGGUGAUUUCCCUCUCUGUUUGCCCUAUGAUUUCUCAACCCUCCCUUUCCAUUGAUAGCAGCAGCAGCAGCCUAACAACAAAGAAACCUCCAUUCUUGAAUUUUAAUCAAUUCACAAAAUAUCUCCAAAAAACAAAGAAAAUAUUCACCUUGAAAUACCCAAAUCACAAGAAAUUCCAAGAAAAAUAAAAAUUGAGUCUUUACUUUGAAUAUUAAGAAUUUUCAACUUUCUUGAAUUACCCAAAUCACAAAAAAUCCAUAAAAAUUAGAGUUUUUACAUUGAAUUUCAAGAACUUCAAACUUUCUUGAAUAAUCCAAAUCACAAAAUGUCUAAAGAAAGCAUAAAAAUUGAGUCUUUACAUUGAAUUUCAAGUUUCUUGAAUCACCCAAAUCAAAAAAAUCUUCAAAAAUCCCUUCUUUUCAUACUUCUUAAAUUUUUCGCUCCUCACUUUUUAAUUUUUCUGUAGAACAAGAAGAAUAAGAAGAUAAGAUGAUAAAGGAAAAGAAAAAUGAGAAAAAGAGGAGGAAGAGUAAGAAAAAGAAGAAGAAGAAGAAAUAGAGAAGGCAAAAUGACCUUCUAGACGCUUGUACUAUGUCGGUUUUGUAAGUUGGAUACUUCUACUUACAUGUUUGUCAUCUGGACCCCUGGACCCACUAAAAAGCAACAUUUUAAAUCCUUUUUUGGUGAGUGUAACACUCUCACCAUGUCAGCUGCCACGUCAUUUAAAAAAUAAAAAAUUAAAAAAAGUAUUACAUUAAAUUCCAAGUCAUUUUUAAAAUGCUAAAUAAUAAAUUAAAUAUUAAAAUUAAUUUAAUUAAAUUAGAAAAUUUUAUAAAUGUAGAUAAUUUUGAAUAAUCAUGUUUUUAUUUUUGCUCACAAAUUAAUUAUCAAAUUCAUUCCAAAUAAUUAAAAUUCUUCUCCAACUAAUUUAAAUUUUUAACUAUAAAUUCAUAUAUAUAAACAUGAUAAAAAUUUUAUUUUAAAUUUUGAAUAUCUUUACAAAAUUCUAAAAAAUUUUAAUUUUUUUAAAGCGAAAUUCACUAAUCUUUUUCAAGAUUCACUAUCACUCACUUUCAAUUCAAAUUUAAAUUUUAAUCCCCGAAAAAAAAAGAUUUCAAAUUUAAAUUUUUUUUCAAGAAAAAAUGAAAAGAAUUGAAUUGAGAUAAAAUUAAAAUAAAAAAUAAAAAGUAAAGGUGGUGGUGGGGAGAGGGAGAGGGGGCUAAAAGAGUGUUGGGUAGGGUGUGGGGGCUAGAAGGGGCUAGGGGUAGGGUGGGGAUAGGGAUGGGAGAGGUGUGGGGGCAGAGAGUGAGGUGGGGUGGGGCUAGUGAGGUGNNNNNNNNNNNNNNNNNNNNNNNNNNNNNNNNNNNNNNNNNNNNNNNNNNNNNNNNNNNNNNNNNNNNNNNNNNNNNNNNNNNNNNNNNNNNNNNNNNNNNNNNNNNNNNNNNNNNNNNNNNNNNNNNNNNNAAAUUUAAAAAAAAAAUUAAAUUAUUUUAAAAAUAUUUUUAAAUUUGUAAAAAUAUUUUUAAAUUUAAAAAGAUGGAGGGAAAAAAGGGACCCUUUUUAUUUAUUUUUUUUAAUUUAAACAUUAUUUUUUAAAAAAUUAUUUUAAUGUAAAAUUGGCCAAAAAUUGACCCCCACUCGCACCCCUAGGCGAGUGGCUACACUCUCUUUGUCCAAGUCACUAUUUCAAUGCCACAUAGGCAAGGUCAACGAUUAAAGGGUGCAACAUAUUUCUUUUUAAUAGGUUCAAGGGUCCAGAUGACAAACAUAUAAGUAGAAGUGUCUAACUUACAAAACCGACAUAGUACAGGGGUCCAGAAGGUUAUUUUGCUAAUAGAGAAGGCAAGAAAGAAUUGGAAUAGAAAGAAAAAGGGGAAGAGAAAGAAAGGGGGUUUAUUUAUUUUAAUAUUUAAUAUUUUAUAUAUAUAAAAAUAACGUGAAAGAUGACGUGGCACACAUGGCAGCUGAUGUGGCAGCUGACGUGGGAGAGUGUGUUACACUCACCCAAAAAGUGUUUAAAAUAUAAUUUUUUAGUGGGUUCAGGGGUCUACAUGACAAACAUGUAAGUAGAAGUGUCCAACUUACAAAACCAACAUAGUACAGGGGUCCAUCGAAGCAUUUUGCCUUUAAUGCAUAGUGAAACUAAAUAAAGAGUAAAGAAAAAUAAGUUUGGUUAAGAAAGAUGAAAUACACAGUGAGACCAAUUGAGUGAUCCAAUAAAGGAAAUAGAAUAAAAUAAAGUUACAAACAUGCUAUGUGUUUUCUUUUCUUUUCGUUGGCGUAAAAUAGUAUUCUUCAUAAGCACUUUUGAAUGCAUAAAUUUUUUAUCUCAUAUUGUAAAACAUUUUUCAAACUAAUUAACCAAAAUUAAACUGCUAAGAUGUAUUGCCUCACAUGGCACGAUACAUAAAGUAUGUCUCCACACGACACGAUACGAUACAUAAAAAUAUGACUCAACACAACACAAUACAUUAAGAAAUAUUGCCCCACACGGUCAUGAUCAGAGGUGAACCCAGGAUUUAAAGAAUGCGGAUGCACCAUUAUCUUUACAUAAGCCUCGAGAAUCUUUCAAUGACAAAUGAGGGAUAAUGUUGUGUCUGACUGACUGGUCAAUAGAUACUUAAGCAAUGACAAAAAUACAAAUACAUAGGCAAAAUAUGGGUUUUAUGCUAAUAAAUAAGCCUUAACUCAAUAACAGUAAAUUAUUGUAGUAGCCCAGUGGAAUAAGGUACAUUCUCUAAACAACAUGUCAUGGGUUCAACUCCCUACUGCCUAUUUUUGUUGUUAAAAAUAAUAAAAGCAAAAAAUAGCAAAAGUAAUGCUACCACUAGAAUCGAACCUGGAUCGCGUUUGUGGGAAACAUUAGCUAGAACCAACGCACUUAAAGUGUAAUGAUAUUGAUUAGGGUGCACAUGUAAUAUAUAUAAGUGUCUUAAGGUAUAUAUAUGUACAUAUAUAGAACUUUUUCCGAACUUAAUGGGUGCACGUGCACCUCUACCCUAACACGUGGGUCCGCCUCUGGUCAUGAUAUAUAAAAUAUGUCUUCACACGACCCGAUACAUACAAAUAUCACUCAAUACAAUACAAUACACUAAAUAUAUUGCCCCACGAUACAUAAAAUAUGGCUCAACACAACACAAUACACUAAACAUAUUGCCCCACAUGACACGAUACAUAGAAUAUGACUCAUCACAACACAAUACACUUAAAAUAUGGCCCCAACUGGCAUAAUACACUAAAAAUGGCCCCAUACGACAUGAUACAUACAAAUAUAGCUCAUCAUAACACAAUACACUAAAAAUAUGACCCCAUACAACAUGAUACAUAAUAAGGUAACUUAAUAUGAAGGAACAUAGAGAAAACAUACCUGAUCGAAUGUUAAAUGAUCAAACUGAUCUCUUAUGUGGUCUAGGU